rnacentral:rRNA from 1 species
CCCUUAGAUGUCCUGGGCCGCACGCGCGCUACACUGACUGGUGCAACAAGUGUCUGACCUUGGCUCGAGAGGCCUGGGCAACCUUUGAACGCCAGUCGUGCUGGGGAUAGAUUCUUGCAAUUAUUAAUCUUCAACGAGGAAUUCCUAGUAAACGCAAGUCAUCAGCUUGCAUUGAUUACGUCCCUGCCCUUUGUACACACCGCCCGUCGCACCUACCGAUUGAAUGGUCCGGUGAAGCGUUCGGACCGUGGCCUUUGGACGGUUCGCCGUCUGUUGGCUGCGGGAAGUUCGUUAAACCUUAUCAUUUAGAGGAAGGAGAAGUCGUANCA